AUUGAACGCUGGCGGCAUGCCUUACACAUGCAAAUCGAACGGUAACGGGCCUUCGGGUGCCGACGAGUGGCGAACGGGUGAGUAAUACAUCGGAACGUGCCCGAUCGUGGGGGAUAACGAGGCGAAAGCUUUGCUAAUACCGCAUACGAUCUACGGAUGAAAGCAGGGGACCGCAAGGCCUUGUGCGGACGGAGCGGCCGAUGGGAGAUUAGGUAGUUGGUGGGAUAAAAGCGUACCAAGCCGACGAUCUGUAGCUGGUCUGAGAGGAUGAUCAGCCACACUGGGACUGAGACACGGCCCAGACUCCUACGGGAGGCAGCAGUGGGGAAUUUUGGACAAUGGGCGCAAGCCUGAUCCAGCCAUGCCGCGUGCAGGAUGAAGGCCUUCGGGUUGUAAACUGAUUUUGUACGGAACGAAAAGCCUUCUUUUAAUACAGGAGGGUCAUGACGGUACCGUAAGAAUAAGCACCGGCUAACUACGUG
rnacentral:rRNA from 1 species